rnacentral:rRNA from 1 species
AGGACGAACGCUGGCGGCGUGCUUAACACAUGCAAGUCGAGCGGAAAGGCCCUUCGGGGUACUCGAGCGGCGAACGGGUGAGUAACACGUGAGUAAUCUGCCCCUAGCUCUGGGAUAGCUCCGGGAAACCGGGAUUAAUACUGGAUACGACCACCUUAGACAUCUUUUGUGGUGGAAAGAAUUUCGGCUAGGGAUGAGCUCACGGCCUAUCAGCUUGUUGGUGGGGUAACGGCCUACCAAGGCGACGACGGGUAGCCGGCCUGAGAGGGCGACCGGCCACACUGGGACUGAGACACGGCCCAGACUCCUACGGGAGGCAGCAGUGGGGAAUAUUGCGCAAUGGGCGAAAGCCUGACGCAGCGACGCCGCGUGGGGGAUGAAGGCCUUCGGGUUGUAAACCCUUUCAGCAGGGACGAAGCGAAAGUGACGGUACCUGCAGAAGAAGCGCCGGCUAACUACGUGCCAGCAGCCGC